CGGCGGGCGGGGCUCGGCUCGGGCUCCGCGGGCGGGCGGGCGGACAUGGCGGCCAACAUGUACCGGGUCGGAGAUUAUGUCUACUUUGAGAAUUCCUCAAGCAAUCCGUACCUCAUCAGAAGGAUAGAAGAACUCAACAAGACUGCAACUGGCAACGUGGAAGCAAAAGUAGUGUGCUUUUAUAGACGACGAGAUAUUUCCAACACGCUUAUAAUGCUUGCAGACAAGCAUGCUAAAGAAAUUGAGGAAGAAUCUGAAACAACAGUCGAGGCUGACUUGACCGAUAAACAGAAACAUCAGUUGAAACAUAGGGAACUCUUUUUGUCGCGCCAAUACGAAUCUCUGCCCGCAACACAUAUCAGGGGGAAAUGCAGUGUUGCCCUUCUGAAUGAGACAGAGUCAGUAUUGUCAUAUCUUGAUAAAGAGGAUACCUUUUUCUACUCAUUGGUCUAUGAUCCCUCAGUGAAAACACUAUUAGCUGACAAAGGUGAAAUCAGAGUGGGACCUAGAUAUCAAGCAGACAUUCCAGAAAUGCUCUUAGAAGGAGAAUCAGAUGAGAGAGAACAGUCAAAAUUGGAAGUGAAGGUUUGGGACCCAAAUAGCCCACUUACAGACCGACAGAUUGACCAAUUUUUAGUUGUAGCCCGUGCUGUUGGGACGUUUGCUCGAGCCCUUGAUUGUAGCAGUUCUGUAAGGCAGCCUAGUUUGCAUAUGAGUGCAGCUGCAGCUUCUCGAGACAUCACCCUGUUUCAUGCUAUGGAUACAUUGUAUAGGCACGGCUAUGAUUUGAGCAGUGCAAUUAGUGUCUUAGUACCACUUGGGGGACCUGUUUUAUGCAGAGAUGAAAUGGAAGAAUGGUCCGCCUCUGAAGCUAGUUUAUUUGAAGAGGCAUUGGAAAAAUAUGGCAAAGACUUCAAUGACAUACGUCAAGACUUUCUCCCUUGGAAAUCAUUGACUAGCAUCAUUGAAUAUUAUUACAUGUGGAAAACUACUGACAGAUAUGUGCAGCAGAAACGUCUAAAGGCAGCAGAAGCAGAGAGUAAACUGAAACAAGUGUAUAUCCCAACUUACAGCAAACCAAAUCCCAACCAAAUAUCCACCAGCAAUGGCAAACCUGGUGCUGUGAAUGGAGCCGUGGGAACCACAUUCCAGCCGCAAAACCCUCUCCUGGGGCGAGCCUGCGAGAGCUGCUACGCUACACAGUCUCAUCAGUGGUAUUCUUGGGGCCCACCUAAUAUGCAGUGUAGGUUAUGUGCAACCUGUUGGCUCUAUUGGAAAAAAUACGGAGGCCUGAAGAUGCCCACCCAGUCGGAAGAGGAGAAGUUACCUCCUAGCCCAGCUACCGAGGACCCGCGAGCUAGAAGCCAUAUGUCUCGCCAGGCCAUGCAGGGGAUGCCAGUCCGAAACUCUGGGAGCCCGAAGUCUGCAGUGAAGACCCGUCAAGCUUUCUUCCUUCACACUACAUAUUUCACAAAAUUUGCUCGGCAGGUCUGCAAAAAUACCCUCCGGCUGCGGCAGGCAGCAAGACGGCCGUUUGUUCCUAUUAAUUAUGCUGCCAUUAGGGCAGAAUAUGCAGACAGACAUGCGGAUCUAUCUGGAAGUCCCCUGAAAAGCAAAAGCACGAGGAAGCCUUUGGCAUGUAUCAUUGGGUAUUUAGAGAUCCAUCCUUCGAAGAAACCUAAUGUAAUUCGAUCUACACCAAGCCUGCAAACCCCAACCACCAAGCGGAUGCUAGCCACCCCGAAUCACACGUCUCUGAGCAUUUUGGGGAAAAGAAACUACAGUCAUCACAAUGGCCUGGAUGAAAGGCUCAUGAAGUGAAGGCGCAGCUCUGCUCUAUCCUGCAGACCUUCCUCAGGAUGGCGGGAGGCUGUGAAGAACUCACAUGCUGCGUGUCAGACUGAGCUAUUGCUGUUUAACCCUAUAAUCCAAGACUUGCUACACUGUCCUGCUGAUGUCCAUAGCCAUGCCCAGGAAGGAGGCGGCCCCAUUCCCAGCGUAUCCCGGGGGAGACCUCCGCGUGCACCCCACGGAGCCUUGACCAGGCCGGGGAAGAGACUGUAGGAGCACACGUCCCCACAGCUGCGUCUCCUCUUGUGAAUCAGUGUCCCCUUGCUUUCCUCUAGAGGCCUCGCUGCCCCAGAGCGGGACCUGCCUGGGGAAUUGAGGGGCUGGGGGAGCUACUCCGAGACCUCCUUCUCCGGCACUCUGAACCCCGGGCACCGCGGCUCCGGGGCAGUGGGGCUGCUGCAGGCUCAGAGCCGCUGCCGCCCUGCAUGUGCCAGCUUCGCUCUGUUGUCGGCUGUGUCAGUGUGGACUCGAGGGAUAAUACGGCAUGUUUCUAAAUGGAUUUUUCUUAAGAAAUGUGCCAUUGUUGAUGUAGUUCAGGAUGUUCCCCCCAUCCCAGCUGUCACUGUCCCUCGGCUUUUUCUCAGUAGGCUUCAUUCCCCAUUUUUUUUAGUGGGGAAAUUUUGUCCUUCACCCCCUGCAUCCUGUAUUUGCCCCCUACCUUCAUCCCUCCCAGGUACAGAAUUACCUGUGGUUCUGACAAAAGAUAAGCAAAUCGUCUUUGGGAAGCCUGUGGACUCUCUAUCUCAUCCGUUCUUUGUUGUUGGAAAGAGGCUGGCAUUCUCUUGGUUCUGCUUAGUCCCAGGCAGUCCAGCGAGAGCAGGUAUUAACGUGAGCUGAGCGUGUGUAUCACGGUGACCAGCCGUCAUGUCCUGCCCUGUUCCUUCACAGCCAAACCAGCCGCUGCAGCCAGGUUGGUCCUUCUAGGACUCUCAUUCAUCCAGGUUAAUUUUAAGCAGGUGGAGUCUGUGUGGCCUGUAAGGUGAAGUAAGAGAGCUGUGUCUGCAGGUGAGUCUGUGUGGAAGCCCCGCCUCCACCACCCUGGCAACCCGGCCAUUUCUGUGAGCACCUGUGCCUAGACCCCCGGAGACCUGUCUGUGACCCUGUUUCUGCUGUCUGCCCUGGUACAGGCCCUGCCGGCAUCACAGGGGGGCCGUUCUGCCCUCUGUGUACACAGCUGCGGGGACAGGAAAAACUUAAUGCCCCAUUUGCUCCCCGAGCAGAUGUGAGUCUGCUGCUUCCCUGCCUUUGUUUGCAGGGACAGGCUGCAGGGCACAGGGUCACAGCAGCAUGAAAGACAAUGGGAGUGUGGCCUCCCUGCGGCCCCUGGAGCGUGCGGCCAGAGACAAAAUGGGUGGCUGACAGCAGGUGCCUCGAAAGGCCAGCUGCCUGCAGGACAAAGUAUCUCCAAAUGAGCUGAAUGCCUCCCCCUCCGCCACCCAGGCAGAGUGAGGUUUCCCUAAAAUGACCAUGACGCUCCAGAUGUCUGGUCAUCGCAGGCUGGGCUCAGCUCAGCAGAGGACGUGAUGCAUGAUGACUGAGGGUGAUGCUCGAAGCACGCGCUGCCUUUUCCUUUUCCAGUCUCGCAGGCUUCUCUCCCCAGGAGGGGUUGGCUCUCAUCUUAGUUUUUGAGGGAUGACCCCGGGGACAUUCUCACCACUGCCAACUCUUGGAGCUGUUCCAGGUUUUGGCUUGGGGCCCCAUGGGUGGGCCUGUGUCGGAUGCUCAGUGAGCCGGGUGGGGUGGCAGACAUUGCCCUCAGGGUCCCACAGAGAAGCUCCUUCUGUAAAGCCCCAGGGGGAGAGAAGGCAGCCGGUUCUUGCAUCACCAGCCACGUGCCACGUCCUCUAAAGAAAGAGACGCAACCAAGCUGUGUCCCCAUGCCCUGCCCUGCAUUUGCUGCGAUAGAUACAGAACAUGGAAUGGUUCCUUCACAUUGUCCCUGUCCUCUCCUGACCCACAUGGGACCAUGACUCGUGGUUAAAGGAGCCAUUAGCCGCCGUGACUUUGCUGCCAGCUUGUUGGGGAGAGACCCUCCUUCCCCAGGCCAGGAGCUUUGGAGGCCGGGGCCAGGCCGGGGCUGCAGGAAGAACAGGGAGGCCCAGGCCAGCUCCAAUUCAUGCUUAAAUGUGGGACAAGUACACCCCAACAGCUCUCCCAUCACUGUGUGGUGAAAACUCCGGGUUCCGCAGCCCUGCCCUCCUACGGGAGGGUUCCUGGCUAAGAUCUCAGGCUCCCACUUCAUCUCGGGAAAGCCCCCCAGCACUGAACCUUUGGGGACUGGAGGAUGGACGCCAAGGAGCCUCUAGUAUCUGUCACUGCCGAGGGAGCAGUUGGUGCCGAGAGGCUUUCCUGGCCAGCCCCUUUGUUGGGGCCACAGUGUCACUGCUGUGGGUGUCAGUGGCACGUCAGCACUGUGAGCAGCGAGCGUGUGGGUGACACGCAACACCCAGCUGCAGGUUUCCCAGCAGACGUGCCCAGGGCUGCCGUGCACCCUCGGAGAAGGACACUGAGGCCCGAGAGUCGGCCUCCCUUCCCCCGUCACCCCCACCCACCCCGCAGUGGAGCAGGAGAGGACACAACUGCUUCCUAGCUUGCCUUUCGUGAUUCUACCUUGUCCACAGCCUGGGUUCUAUCAGUCAGCAUCCAACCAAGAAAACCAGAGAAGUCUAUUUAAAACAGAGGGGUUUUAAUCCAGGAAAUUGUUUAAAUGAGAAAGAAGAAGGCCUGAGACACUACUGAGGGGUAACCAGAAACGGGGACCCACAGAGCUGGUGGGACCAGAUCCUCAGGGUCAGGCCACUAGGUGGGGCCUGGGUCUGCAGAGGGCCUACGUGGUGGGAGCUGAAGCCAUGAAGAGACCUGGGCCCUGCCAGAAACAUACCCCCCAUGCCCCGCCCCAGGCAAAGAGGGAGCAGAAUUAGCCUGGCUUCUCCCUUCCCUAUGCCCUCCAGAUUUCUGCGUUAGCUAAAUGCAGCUGGAAGCCAGCUGACCUGGGAGCUUGGGACAGGCCACCUGCAGUCAGUUCCCCAGCUCUUAGAGCAGAGCAGCGGAAGGCAAGUGGUGGGUCAGAGGGCAAGCAGUCCCAGGACAUGUGUGGCCUUGGUCCGCUCUCUGUCACGUCCAAGCCCACUGUGGAUUCCCCAUGCUGUCCCAAGACCCCGGUGAGUGGAGGUGGAGGUAGCUGCCCUGGUGGGUUUCUGUAGGUUCUCUUUGACUCUGCUUGGGAGGAAAGUGCUUUGGGGAGGUGGGGGAGGGGUUUUAUUCAUAACAGUUAUCCCAGUUCUCCUUUGGGAGAAUUUACUCAUUUAGCAGACCCACCUCGCCUGUCCCCUCAGGGAGGCUGUGUCCCAGUGUUCUGUCCAUCCCAGCCCAUUCCUCUUCCCCCAGUCUCUGGUUUCUCUACUGGAGAACACCCACCCAGACCACGCAUCAAUGGUCAUGAGUGUUUCCCCAGGAUAAUUCAUUCAGCGUGUGCUAUUACAGAGUGGUCUGUCUGUAAGUAGAUGUCAUCCACUGAUCAAU